AGGACGAACGCUGGCGGCGUGCUUAACACAUGCAAGUCGUACGAUGAUGCCGCAACUUGUUGUGGUGGAUUAGUGGCGAACGGGUGAGUAACACGUGAGUAACCUGCCUUUCACUCUGGGAUAAGCCUUGGAAACGAGGUCUAAUACUGGAUAUGACUCCUUGCCGCAUGGUGGGGGUGGAAAGCCUUCGGGUGGUGGAUGAUGGACUCGCGGACUAUCAGCUUGUUGGUGGGGUUGUGGCCUACCAAGGCUUUGACGGUUAGCCGGCCUGAGAGGGUGAUCGGCCACAUUGGGACUGAGAUACGGCCCAGACUCCUACGGGAGGCAGCAGUGGGGAAUAUUGCACAAUGGGCGAAAGCCUGAUGCAGCGACGCCGCGUGGGGGAUGAAGGCCUUCGGUUGUAAACUCCUUUCGCUCGUGACGAAGCCUUUCGGGUGCGGUAGCGGGAGAGAAGCACCGGCUAACUACGUGCCAGCAGCCGCGGU
rnacentral:rRNA from 1 species